CCCCUCUCGGAUUGCAUCUAGAGAAUUUCAAGGACUCUACCAAUCUUGGCUACGGGAGGGAGAGUCGAGCAGAGGCCUACCCAUUCCAUUCCUAGCUUGGGCAGUGGCUAGCGAGUGGAAGGCAAUCUGCUACAAGU